UGAGGAAUAUUGGGUCAAUGGGCGUAAGCCUGAACCAGCCAAGUAGCGUGCAGGAUGACGGCCCUAUGGGUUGUAAACUGCUUUUUCGCGGGGAUAAAGAGGGGGAUGCGUCCCCCGUUGCAGGUACCGCGUGAAUAAGGACCGGCUAAUUCCGUGCCAGCAGCCGCGGUAAUACGGAAGGUCCGGGCGUUAUCCGGAUUUAUUGGGUUUAAAGGGAGCGCAGGCCGUAUGGUAAGCGUGUUGUGAAAUGCCGUGGCUCAACCAUGGCACUGCAGCGCGAACUGCCGUACUUGAGUACGCUGGAGGUAGGCGGAAUUCGUGGUGUAGCGGUGAAAUGCUUAGAUAUCAC
rnacentral:rRNA from 1 species